GAAGUUUGAUCAUGGCUCCAGAUUGAACCGCUGGCGAGAUUGUUUUACAUACGAUCGAACGGCAGCACGGACUUCGGUCUGGUGGCGAGUGGCGGAACUGGGUGGGUAAUGUAUCCGGAACGUGCCUAGUAGCGGGGGAUAACUACGCAGAAAGCGUAGCUAAUACCACCAUACGCCCUUCGGGGAAAAGCGGGGGACCUUCGGGCCUCACUAUUAAACGGCCGAUAUCGGAUUAGCUAGUUGGUGGGGUAACGGCUCACCAGGGCGACGAUGUCCGUAGCUGGUUUGAAGGACAGCCAACCACACUGGGACUGAGACACGGCCCGAACUCACAGGAGGCAGCAGUUGGGGAAUUUUGGACAAUGGGGAAACCUGAUCCAGCCAUCCCGCGUGUGCGAUGAAGGCCUUCGGGUUGUAAAAGCACUUUUGGCGGGAAAGAAACGGCACGGGAUAAUACCCGUGCAGCGACAAGCACCUGCGGAAUAGCACCAGCCAACUUCUGUGCCGUAACCGCGAUAAUAAUAGGAGUGCAAGCGUUAAUCGGAAUACUGGGCGUAAAGCGUGCGCAGAGCGGUUCGGAAAGAAAGAUGUUGAAAUCCCAGAGCUUAACUUUGCUGGAGCUGCAUUUUUAACUACCGACUAGAGAGUGUGUCAGAGGAGGUGGAAUUCCGCGAUGUAGCAGUGAAAUGCGUAAGAUGGAAGACACCGAUGGCGAAGGCAGCCUCCUGGGACUCACUGACGCUCAUGCACGAAAGCGUGGGGAGCAAACAAGUUAGAUACCCUGGUAGUCCAUACUGAAAAACGAUGUCAACUAGCUGUUGGGGCCUUCAGACUGGUAAGCGCAACUAACGCGUGAUGAUUGACCGCCUGGGGAGUACGGUCGCAAGAUUAAAACUCAAAGAUUGACGGGGACCCGCACAAGCGGUGGAUGAUGUGGAUUAAUUCGUGCAACGCGAAAAACCACCUACCCUUGACAUGUCUGGAAUCCCGAAGAGAUUUGGGAGUGCUCGCAAGAGAACCGGAACACAGGUGCUGCAUGGCUGUCGUCAGCUCGUGUCAUGAGAUGUUGGGUUUAAGUCCCGCAACGAGCGCAACCCUUGUCAUUAGUUGCUACGAAAGGGCACUCUAAUGAGACUGCCGGUGACAAACCGGAGGAAGAUGAGGAUAACGUCAAGUCCUCAUGGCCCUUAUGGGUAGGGCUUCCACACGUCAUACAAUGGUCGGGACAGAGGGUCGCCAGCAACCGCGAGGGAGCCAAUCCAGAAACCCGAUCCCGUAGUCCGGAUCACAGUCUGCAACUCGACUGCGUGGUCGGAAUCGCUAGUAAUCGCGGAUCCGGCAUGUCGCGGUGAAUACGUUCCCGGGUCUUGUACACACCGCCCGUCACGCCAUGGGAGUGGUUUUACCAGGAAAGUAGUUAGCCUAACCGUAGAGGCGAUUACCACAGUGAUUCAUGACUGGGGUAAGUCAGCUAACAAGGUAG
rnacentral:rRNA from 1 species